UACGGAGGGUGCAAGCGUUAUCCGGAUUUACUGGGUUUAAAGGGUGCGUAGGUGGGUCUGUAAGUCAGUGGUGAAAUCUCCGGGCUUAACCCGGAAAUUGCCAUUGAUACUAUAGGUCUUGAAUCAUCUGGAGGUAAGCGGAAUAUGUCAUGUAGCGGUGAAAUGCUUAGAUAUGACAUAGAACACCAAUUGCGAAGGCAGCUUACUACGGAUGUAUUGACACUGAGGCACGAAAGCGUGGGGAGCAAACAGGA
rnacentral:rRNA from 1 species